UACGAACUGUGCGAACGUUAUUCGGAAUCACUGGGCUUACAGGGUGCGUAGGCGGCUUGUCAAGUAGGGUGUGAAAGCCCCCGGCUCAACCGGGGAAUGGCGCCCUAAACUGGCGAGCUAGAGUGAGAUAGGGGUGUGUGGAACUUCCGGUGGAGCGGUGAAGUGUGUUGAUAUCGGAAGGAACGCCGGUGGCGAAAGCGACACACUGGAUCUUGUCUGACGCUGAGGCACGAAAGCCAGGGGAGCGAACGGG
rnacentral:rRNA from 1 species